rnacentral:rRNA from 1 species
AUUGAACGCUGGCGGCAGGCCUAACACAUGCAAGUCGAACGGUAGCACAGAGAGCUUGCUCUCGGGUGACGAGUGGCGGACGGGUGAGUAACGUCUGGGAAACUGCCCGAUGGAGGGGGAUAACUACUGGAAACGGUAGCUAAUACCGCAUAACGUCGCAAGACCAAAGUGGGGGACCUUCGGGCCUCACACCAUCGGAUGUGCCCAGAUGGGAUUAGCUAGUAGGUGGGGUAAUGGCUCACCUAGGCGACGAUCCCUAGCUGGUCUGAGAGGAGGGCCAGCCACACUGGAACUGAGCAACGGUCCAGAAUCCUACGGGAGGCAGCAGUGGGGAACAUUGCACAAUGGGCGCAAGCCUGAUGCAGCCAUGCCGCGUGUAUGAAGAAGGCCUUCGGGUUGUAAAGUACUUUCAGCGGGGAGGAAGGCGGUGAAGUUAAUAACUUCACCGAUUGACGUUACCCGCAGAAGAAGCACCGGCUAACUCCGUGCCAGCAGCCGCAGUAA